AUCUCGCCCUCAAAACUUAAACCUCCAGGGUGCACGCGCAGAUGCGUAUACACGCUAAAGAUUGCGUGAGCACGCUAAGGAUUGCGUAGGCACGCCGGUAAGAGUGAGCAGCCAACCAGGGUAUUGACACGUCACAAGGCCGCUAGCAUAAUGGUCCUAGUCAUCAGGCGGGGUAAAAGUAAGCAGCCAGUCAGGGUAUUCACACGUCACUCAGGUGCGACCCCAGCUUAUAUAAACAGCGCCACAUCGGGGGUCUCUCUCUCUCCCCUCUUCAUCGCGUGACUAAUAAAGUUUACUGCGGAAGGAUUCCUGUGGUCGCGUGCGUUUCUGCCGGCGAAACAUUCACGCGGCGGCUCCCAACAUCUGGUGCCGAAACCCGGGAACAUUGCUGGGAAGAAAACAAUCCAUUCUGGGUACCGGAGCGCCUCACGCGAAAGCUCGUGACAGCUGAAGAUGAUCUUCCAACAGACACACCUGCUACUGCUGAAAGAAUCCAGGACAGCGAGGAGGACCACUAAUUCUACUCGAGUGGAUUCAUUGCCCACAGACUGGCUUUACCCUGGGUUUCUUCUGCCUUUUCUUACUUCAGAUUGGGUGGGGGUCGGAAUGUUUGGUGUAGCAUUGUGUCGUGGCUUAGUGUUUUUUACUCUGGUUGUUCUGCAAACUCUAUACCCAAAACAAACGUGACUAGGUCGCAAUCGCGCAAGCACUAGCACCCUUGGAACAAGGAUCGUCUCCCAAAAAUUUGGUUAUCCAUGUUAAAAAAUUAAAACAGACUGUGACACUCAGUCGAUGCACCUCAGGGGUUUCACCCAUUGCACUGAGUCGAUGAGUGAUCCAGGUUAAUGUUGCCUUUGCCUAAACGGUUAUGGUACCUAGACAGGAGGGUGACAGCUCUUGCACUCCCUGGAAUUUUAUUCCAUUGCACGGGAAUGAGUGUCACCUCCUUUCUGAGAUGUGGUACCUAGACAGGAGGGUGACAGCUCUUGCACUCCCUGGAAUUUUAUUCCAUUGCACGGGAAUGAGUGUCACCUCCUUUUAAAAAUCUUCUCCCCUAGCCCCUGCACCCAGAGGACUUGUUUCCAUUGCACCUGGUGGGGUAAGGGAGUAAUCUAAAGCUUUUGAUCGCUUACUCCCCAAAAAAGGAGUUUGCUUGAUCGAGCUUAGGGCCCUCUUGUACCGUGCUCAUAGGCUUUUAGGCAGUUUUCAUUUAUUUAUUUAUAACAAAAAGGGAGAUGUGGGGAGCCGAGACUCAGAUGCCACUAGCUGGCGCUGACAUCUCGCCCUCAAAACUUAAACCUCCAGGGUGCACGCGCAGAUGCGUAUACACGCUAAAGAUUGCGUGAGCACGCUAAGGAUUGCGUAGGCACGCCGGUAAGAGUGAGCAGCCAACCAGGGUAUUGACACGUCACAAGGCCGCUAGCAUAAUGGUCCUAGUCAUCAGGCGGGGUAAAAGUAAGCAGCCAGUCAGGGUAUUCACACGUCACUCAGGUGCGACCCCAGCUUAUAUAAACAGCGCCACAUCGGGGGUCUCUCUCUCUCCCCUCUUCAUCGCGUGACUAAUAAAGUUUACUGCGGAAGGA